GCCUUUGUUUUAUGGAUAGCUCAGUUGGUUAGAACGUGGUGCUGAUAACACCAAUGUCAUAGGUUCGAUCCCCAUAUGGGGCA